rnacentral:rRNA from 1 species
GUUUGAUGGCGACCGGCGCACGGGUGAGUAACACGUAUCCAACCUGCCGAUGACUCGGGGAUAGCCUUUCGAAAGAAAGAUUAAUACCCGAUGGCAUAGUUCUUCCGCAUGGUGGAACUAUUAAAGAAUUUCGGUCAUCGAUGGGGAUGCGUUCCAUUAGGUUGUUGGCGGGUAACGGCCCACCAAGCCUUCGAUGGAUAGGGGUUCUGAGAGGAAGGUCCCCCACAUUGGAACUGAGACACGGUCCAAACUCCUACGGGAGGCAGCAUG